GCUGAUUGCAAUGAACCGUGCAUUUUACCUAGCCUUAAUUGAGUCACUGCAAAGAACAUUUAACUUAGCCUCACAGGAGGGGAUAUUUCAUGUUGUUUUUACAUCAACCUAGAUGAAACCUUCCAACAUUUCUAACAGACUUUGUUGAUAGCUAACAAGACAUGCUUCAAGCCGUCUGUUCUUAGGUCUCCUCUUUUUUUUCUUUUUUUUUUAAAAAAUCUAAUUGAAAGUAUUUAUACAGACUUGAAAUUCUGGACAGGCACAGGAUUUUGCUCAGAAUAAUUGCUGGUGUACAAUAGAGGACUUUUCUAUAGUAUUUUUUUGUGUGUGUUUCUCUCCUCCUCCAGUCUGCAGCCAAAGCAAAUUUCUGCUAAGCUGUGUCAAAAAACCAUAGCAACUAUCUUGUGACAGAUCUGAGUAGGUUCUGUUCUUCAAAGGAUUAAUCUUACAUUGCCAUGAUCCCAUCCAGUGUGAUUCUGAGCAUUUUUUGCUAAAAACUUGCUAAAUAUUUGUGUGAGUUGAGUGUUUCCAUCAUAGCAACCGAUGGGCGAAGCACAGCGCGUUAGUCACAAUGUGUGGCAGUGGGAGGCUUCAGGGAUGCUGGGGUUCUCUCACCAGAUGGGAGGAGUGGGAGCAGGUUGGAGGCAGAGCUGGCAGGGCAGAGGGGAGAGCAGAGCAGGCUCUACAUGUUUUGCACUGCUUUUAAUGAGGCUGCCUGAACUAUGGUAACCCCACGGCACAUUUGUAAGCAAGAGAUAUCAGACGAAUUGGCCCCUUCCAGGGCUGCAUUAUGAGGUAAUCUGCUUUCAUUACAGGAUUUAUUUUAUAGGUGGUAGACCUCAGUGAGAAGACGCUGCAGGCACAAGCAGCACUUAUCUGCUCUGUAAGGCCAAGUUCAGGAUCUGCAUGAAUGUGAAUCUGCUUUCCCACAGUUCAAUCUCCUUUCCUUGCGAGGCUGGAAACACAACCUUUUUGUGCAUGACCCCUUCUUUGCUCCCCUUCUGAUUCAGACUCAUACUGGAAUGAUUGAUAGUCUUUUAUAAAAUACUCCAUAAAGAACUAUUUUACUUCCACAUCAGCAUGAAAGCUUGGGUCCCACAUACAAAACAAGUACAAAAAUAAGCAUCUCACAUCAGAAUGAAAAGCCUCUUCUUCCUUCAGCCUUUCUGAAGUGCACAG
rnacentral:lncRNA from 1 species